AGCAUCGCGUGUGUAAGCACGAGGCUGGGCUCGGGGUUGGGUGACCUGGUCCUUACCUGCCUCUCACUUCCUGCCAGUAAGCUUCACCUGGGGCAGGAAUGCGGGAGGCUGCACGGGCAGCUCACGGGGGUGCAGGCUUCCCUGCCAGCUCUGCCCCUGUCCCUGAAGGACCCAUAUCAGGGAGAAAGGAUCCAAGGAUCCAGGCUCAGAGUGGACGUGGGACAUCAGAGGACAAGCCAGAGAGAUCCUGGAGUCAUCUCAGAAGGCUUUGGGCAAAGGCAGUAAGUCCCAAAGAACGGGAAGGUUAGGGACAAACCUAGAGUAGGUAGCACUUGCAGGCAUGAGUGGGGAGGAGCUGGGGGCUGGCAGAACCUUGGCUGAGAGUGGCUGACUUGUUGGACAAACUGCACACAGCCUUCUGCAUGAAGACCCUGCUGCAGCUGAGCAUCAGACCACGAGGGGACAGCAGGAUUGUGCCCUCCGGGAUCUCUGUCCAGGUAGGCACAGGCAGAGCAACCUGGGCCACGGGAAGGUCUCAACCAGGAGUUGUGCAGAGCCGGGGUGGGCAGGUGGCUUCAUGAUGGACCGUCUAGAAGAUCCAAAAAGGACCCCCACCUGCAGGUAUGGAAGGUGGGUGACACCCCACGUAUGCCUUUGGCCUUAAUUUACCCGUUCCAUUCCAGCCAUGAGGCGGUCUUCCCAGUCCCCAACUUCAUUACUCAGGGCCUUGGCCAGUGCCAUCUGUGCCCUGAAACUACAGUGUCUGUGCCAGUGACUGCUCCCGACACUUAGGCUGUAUUCACUGAGGUUACGCUCACAUCAACUCUGUGAGGAGGCCUUAUCUUCUUCAUCUUGCAGGGAGGACAUCAAAGCACAGAGAGGUUAAGGGAGUAUCCCAAGGUCACACAACUACUUCCUCUAUGGCAGAACUCUGUCUUACAAUGAUUUACAUUUGUGAAUCAGCCCAGGAGGGUGUCCAGGUAGAAGCUGGUCCUCUCUCCCAGGUUUUAUGGUGACUUUCUGGGCCGGAGUCCAGAGAGUGUUUAUCCAGCAAAGAAGAACUAAAACGACUCCCCACAGAAACAAACUGCCAUCCCGGAUCCCCCACGGCCUGACUGCCACACCCUCUGGCCACAUGACAUUGCCUCUUGUGUCCCUGGCUGCUACCCCUCUUCCUGGACAGAAGGGGAGGUCACAGCUGAGCAUUGCCGGUAGCAGCAAGAAAACAAACAGUGCCAAUGUCCCCAUGCCCCUGUUUCUCGGAACUAGGUGCCCUUCUGGCCAUCAAGGGUGAAGGAAUUCUCCCUAGAGGGGCAAGGGAGAGGCCAGAGAUGUAGACAACUCCGAGUGCCAGUGGAAACCCAGACCAGCCCUCAGACACCCUGCUUGGACCUCCCCCAGAUGGCACCAUCCCUGGUCCAUGCCAGAAGUGGCUCAUCCCACACUCAGCCCCUUGGUCCAGAAGGCCUUCAUCCUCAGGACAGGUCAGUGCUUUCCACAGUCCCAGACCUGAUUUUCACAAUGGUGCCUUCCCAGGCUCUUGGCUUCACAAGAUUCUUGCAGUUAGACACACACACCCAGGCAGAUCUGAUCUUAUUCCUGUUUUAACAGGCGGGGAGGCUGGCUCGGCUUCCUCCUAUUGCCUUACAAAUUGGCAUCUGCAAUUCAGGGGUUGAUGCCGGCAACUGGUCCCGCAGUCUCUCUGCAGACACACAGGCACCCGCAGGUCCACUGACAGCGAUGCUGAACAUGCACAGAUGUGGCCCUGGGCUUGAGACCUCUGUUUCUCAUCGAGUUCCCAUUGUUCCUACAGAGCCCAGCACAGCAAGAUCAGGGUGAUGACCUUUGGCAGAAUGGUUUGCUGUUGGUUGAGGAAGGCUUCCCUUGAAGCCACUGCCUCUGGAGACUGUAGAAAGUAAGGGGGGUGGGGUGGGGACAGGGUAGUGGUUCACACCAGAUAACCUUAAUGAGGUAUUAAGGAACUUGGAAGACCCUGUCUCUAAAUAAACGUAAAAAAGAGCUGGGGGUGUGGCUUGGUGGUGAAGCCCCUCUGGGUUAAAUUCGUGGUACAAAAGAUAGAUAGAUAGAUAGAUAGAUAGAUAGAUAGAUAGAUAGAUAGAUAACAGGGGGAUGCAAAUUGCCAGCCUCAGCAAGGUGAUCAGAGUGGCAAACAGCUAGAAUUAGUUCCUGCCGAUGACAGUGAUUUUCAAACUGUAACAUGUACACGAAUCACUUAGAGAUCCUGCUAAACUGUUGAUAUUGAUUCGAUCUGAGUGGACCCAAGAAGGUACAUUUCCAAUAGGCUCCAGGAGGAGUCCAUACUGUUGGUCCUUAGAACAUACUCUGAGUAGCAAGAGCUUAACAAGAUGGUUUGUUUCUUCCUUAUGUUCUUGAAACCCAGAAGUUGGCAUCCCAGGGCUAUAUAGUGGUGCUCCAUAGUGUCAGGGAUCAGAGCUCUUAGACCUUGUCACCACUCCAUGUGACUUUUAUUCCCAAGAUGAUCCACCAUGGUGUCAGAUGGAGCUCCAGCCAUUCCAUUUGCAUCUUUAGUCUUUCCUUUUCUCCCAGAGCAAGAACUGAUAGAAGAGUCCGCCCCGCCCUUCCUUCCCAAGAACCCAUCAGAAACAGUAUACGUACACUCCUGCCCCCCCCCAGGACCCAGCCAGCGCCUUCCCAACGUCCGUUUGUAAAGGAGGUUGGGAAAUAGUCUUUUUUUGGCCAGGCAACCAGGUGCCCAGCUAAAAAAUCAAGAACUCCACUUCUGAGGAACUAGUUGAAAAACAGUGGGAGGCGACUCAGACCCUCUGACACACCAGGCUGGAAUGGAAUCAGUCUCCCAGAGCCAAAUGUGAGAAUGAACCACAAUUCUGACCCCCAGGGUUCUGCCUGCGACCCACCAAUCCACCUCGAGGCGCCUUGUAACGAAGCGCCACCUGCUCACUCCCAGGGGCAGUGGGGGUGGGUCUGACCUCGGCCACUGGAGGCAGAGCGCCUGGUUCAGAUUUUGCUCGGUCACUCAUUGGCUAUAAAGUCAUGGGCAAGUUAGUUAAUGUCUCUGUGCCUCGGUUUCCCUUCUGUAGAAUGAGGAUCUAGUAGUGUCUGUCUCCCGUGGUUGUUACAGGGUGGAAAGAGCAAAGCUUGCCCAAGGUUCUGGUGACUAAAUAAAGCCACUGGAACUCCACCAGCCCGCUUUGCACCCAUGCUGUUGGUGUGCACAGAAGUUACGAAACAAGGAGGCCCAUCUUCUCGGAGCUGAGGAACCAAAUGGUAUCCAACUUGGAAAGAAUGACCUUGGAGCUACGCAUUUGAAGACCAGUCAUUUAUUUGGAGGUCAUCUCAGUUUGCUCAGAAACUUUUAGGAUGAAUUUUUUCCCCAAAAGCUUUCUUUUGUGUGAUUUUGGUGUGUGUGUGUGCAAGAAAUGAAUCAUGAUCAUACUGUGAUGUCUUUGUAAUGUGUCACUUUGGCCCUGUUGAAUUCUGUGCCCCAGCAGUCCUUUCCUGGCAUGUUUCUGAAGGAGGUGGGCCACCAGGGCUCCCCCGUGAGAGGACAGGAGGGCAGGAGGGGGAGGGGACAGCCACCUGGUGCAGCAGGGCCAGGCCAGCCUUGCAGGCCUGUUGAUUUCCCUCCCAGGGUGAAGCAGCAGCUGGUCACAUGUGUGCUUUAGACAAAGGACCCCAGCUUCUGCCACAUGCCCUUGUCACCAAGGCCAGAGAAAGAUAAGGGCUUCAGUCCAUCCUUGUGGGUCCCCAGCUGGCCCUACAAUUUUUGUGGACUUGAAGCUCCAGCAACAGACAUGGAGACAUGUAGCCCCAGGGCGGGUACGAGCCAGGCCUCUGUGAUAAAUCAAUCAGUCUGUCUGUCUGUCUAACCAUCUACCUAUCAUUCUCUUAUAUUCAUCUAUCUGUUCAUCCAUCUAUCUCCUAUCUGUUGAUUUAUGUCCUCCAUCUAUUCACCUACCCACCUACUAUUUUCUAUCAAUUGAUUUAUCUAUUUAUUCAUCUAUUGAUCUAUCAAUCUACCUAUUCACCUAUUUUCUAUCUACCUAUUUUUUUUCUAUCCUCCAUCUACUCAUCUACUUUCUAUUUAUCUUUCUUUCUUUUUCUUUAAUCUAUCCAUCCAUCUGCUCCAGGGUUGCAGCCCUGGCUUAUAUACAUAUUAUCAGAAAAACAGAAUAACUCUGGGGUCCCCCACCCCCUAUUUCACAGCUGGGGGAACUGAGGAAGAAAGGUAAAUUGCUUUACUAAAGGUGACAUUGCAAGCUAGUGACUAUGGAGGAGGCAGAGCCCAGGCCCCCGACUCCCAGUCCAGUGCUGUCCCCAGGGCCCGUCCCCACCACUGCUCCUACGUGCCCACCCCUGCUGCACUCGGAGACCCCCCUGGGUUUCCAUCGGGCUCAGGGUGGGUACAUAGGACCAAGUUUCAUGUGCGUCCUGCCCUCAAGCUGCCCACAGUCUGUCAGAGAGACUGGUACAUCUCUAGACUGUUUGAACGUGGAAUGGCCCGGGGCCAGGUGGGGGAAUAGCAGCACACGAGCCUGUGAGUCCCCCUGUGCAUGUCACAGGGGGCCAGGAGAUGCCUGGCUGUGGUCUGCUCUGAGAAAAUCCCUAAGGAGCUUUUCUCCAACAGCCAUAGAAGGAAUCAUGGGAGCACUCCCUGCCGUGCUCCCAUGUGGCACAGACCUGCAUGUGGGCACUGCUCCCCCUUGAGCCCCCUGCCCAUCCCCAGGUCCUGUGGCCCCUCCUACUGCAGGACCUGGAAUCUCAUGUCCUCUCCUGCGUGCGGCUGCUCCCAGGGACCCCACACAUUCCUUCCUGUGUGCUCUCCUGCAGGGACCCAGCACCUUAGCCUCCCUGGGGAGGGCUUCAUGUUUGUGGGAAGGCCGGACUUGCCUGGUAUCCCCCCCCAUUGCCAGCUAGCAGCCCUCCCCCAAGCUCAGUGCUGGACACAGACAGGCACCAAGGCCCAGGUCCUGCUGCCCCCAAGCCUGGCCUGAAGCUACACACACCCCCUCACCGACAUUUCCAAAUCCUGAAGUCCUGACCUGAGGACCCCAGGAAACACACACAUACCCACCGCCCCGCAGACUGCUGUCACCCCCCUGUGCACUGAUGUGGGGAAGGAGCCGGGCAGGAGGGGAUCGCCCUGGGGAGGUUCCGGACCCAAGGCACUUGCCCCUGUUUACUCACCACUGAGCCAGAAACUCUCCGAACUUACUGGAAAGCUCCUGGCACUUUGUUUUCCUGAAACGAAACAAAAACAGGUUGGACUUCUCUGGUGUUUACCUGCAGGCUCAAUUACCUAAUUCUGAGCUGGGCUGCCUGGCAGGCUGGCAAAGGUGAACACAGGGCAAAGGCAACCACUUCUCUCAAAUGCGCCCAACCCAAAGCAGAAGCCUCUGGAGGAGGAGACUGAGUCAGGGGUAGGGAGACUCCUGGCUGUGGAAGAAGACGGAGCAGGUAGGAGUGCUGUUUGACUCUGAGCAGCUUACUUAACCUCUCUGAACCUGUGUCUUCAUCUGCUUCCCUUGCUGGAUUGUUGGAGGAUUCACAGUGACAACCUAGCACCCAGCAUUCAAGCAAAGGUGGCUGCUGUUAGGAGCAAAGAUCUCUUUUGGCCAGACUGUAGGGGACUCAGAGGUUCUGUAGCUCCUCAAUCUCCUUUACAAAUCAAUUCUAUCCAAAUGUGUCACCUCACCUCCCACCCAAAGUGUUCCUCCCAGGCUUGCUGCUCCCAAACACGCAGAGGUGUUCUUCCAGAGGCAGAUGAUAUGAAAUUGCCAUGUAUGUUGUGGACACACCCCUAGCUGCUGGGAGGAAGUUCUUCUCAACCAGAGCUACCAUAUUGUGACUCAGUUUCCCUCUGCUCUCCCCAUCUAGAACUCCGGAGGAGCUGUGGGCAUAUCCUGUCUCAUGAUGGCCUCUGGUGGCUCUUUUCUUCAAUCUCCCAUGACCAUCCAAAUAUUUCUGCUUGACCCUGGUGCCUUGGGCUGGAAAGAAAACAGACCCAGGUACACGGAAAUUCC
rnacentral:lncRNA from 1 species